rnacentral:rRNA from 1 species
AUAAUGGGUCAGCGACUUAUAUUCUGUAGCAAGGUUAACCGAAUAGGGGAGCCGAAGGGAAACCGAGUCUUAACUGGGCGUUAAGUUGCAGGGUAUAGACCCGAAACCCGGUGAUCUAGCCAUGGGCAGGUUGAAGGUUGGGUAACACUAACUGGAGGACCGAACCGACUAAUGUUGAAAAAUUAGCGGAUGACUUGUGGCUGGGGGUGAAAGGCCAAUCAAACCGGGAGAUAGCUGGUUCUCCCCGAAAGCUAUUUAGGUAGCGCCUCGUGAAUUCAUCUCCGGGGGUAGAGCACUGUUUCGGCAAGGGGGUCAUCCCGACUUACCAACCCGAUGCAAACUGCGAAUACCGGAGAAUGUUAUC